CUGUUACCCUGCACAACCCUGUGAUGAGAUGGAUAAUAGGAAUGGAUUUCUGCCCCAACGAAGCCAAAUUCAUUUGCUAAGUCACGUCCGACUCUUUUGGGACUCCAUGGACUGUAGCCCACCAGUCUCCUCUGUCCAUGGGAUUUCCCAGGCAUAUUCUUUACCAUCUGAGCCACAAUAUGUAAAAGAGGAUUUAUUAGAGGAAUUGGCUUGGGCAGCUAUAGGAGCCAAGAAGUCCCACAGUCUGCCAUCUGCAAGCUGGAGAACCAAGAAAGCCAAUGUUCCUCUUUUUCUAGCAUUUGCUUCUUGGAGUCACACACACACACACACACUUCACUCCAGCACACCUGGUCACCUUCACCAAGCAAAGCCUUCUCCACCAACUCCUGCCCAACCUCCUCCUACAAGAAUUUCUCCUAGAUCAAGACAGCCUCAGUAC
ensembl:lncRNA